CGGACGGGUGAGUAACACGUGGGUAACCUGCCCUGCACAGGGGGAUAACACCUGGAAACAGGUGCUAAAACCGCAUAAGCGCACAGAGGCGCAUGCCUCAGUGUGAAAAACUCCGGUGGUGCAGGAUGGACCCGCGUCUGAUUAGGCAGUUGGCGGGGUAACGGCCCACCAAACCGACGAUCAGUAGCCGGCCUGAGAGGGUGGACGGCCACAUUGGGACUGAGACACGGCCCAAACUCCUACGGGAGGCAGCAGUCGGGAAUAUGGCGCAAUGGAGGAAAACUCUGACGCAGUGACGCCGCGUGCAGGAAGAAGGGUUUUCGGAUUGUAAACUGCUUUAGACAGGGAAGAAAAAGGACAGUACCUGUAGAAUAAGCUCCGGCUAACUACGUGCCAGCAGCCGCGGUAAUACGUAGGGAGCAAGCGUUAUCCGGAUUUAUUGGGUGUAAAGGGUGCGUAGACGGGAAGUCAAGUUGGCUGUGAAAUCCCUCGGCUUAACUGAGGAACUGCAACCAAAACUGAUUUUCUUGAGUGCUGGAGAGGAAAGUGGAAUUCCUAGUGUAGCGGUGAAAUGCGUAGAUAUUAGGAGGAACACCAGUGGCGAAGGCGACUUUCUGGACAGUAACUGACGUUGAGGCACGAAAGUGUGGGGAGCAAACAGGAUUAGAUACCCUGGUAGACCACACCGUAAACGAUGGAUACUAGGUGUAGGUGAUGAAUAAUCAUCUGUGCCGUCGCAAACGCAGUAAGUAUCCCACCUGGGGAGUACGGCCGCAAGGUUGAAACUCAAAGGAAUUGACGGGGGCCCGCACAAGCAGUGGAGUAUGUGGUUUAAUUCGAAGCAACGCGAAGAACCUUACCAAGUCUUGACAUCUGGAUGGCAGAGCAUGUAAAGUGCUUUCUCUUCGGAGCAUCCAAGACAGGUGGUGCAUGGUUGUCGUCAGCUCGUGUCGUGAGAUGUUGGGUUAAGUCCCGCAACGAGCGCAACCCUUAUUCCUAGUAGCCAGCGGAUAAAGCCGGGCACUCUAGGGAGACUGCCGGGGAUAACCCGGAGGAAGGUGGGGAUGACGUCAAAUCAUCAUGCCCCUUAUGAUUUGGGCUACACACGUGCUACAAUGGCGUAAACAAAGGGAAGCGAACCUGCGAGGGGGAGCGAAACCCAAAAAUAACGUCCCAGUUCGGACUGCAGUCUGCAACCCGACUGCACGAAGCUGGAAUCGCUAGUAAUCGCGGAUCAGAAUGCCGCGGUGAAUACGUUCCCGGGUCUUGUACACACCGCCCGUCACACCAUGGGAGUCGGAAAUGCCCGAAGUCUGUGACCUAACCGGAAGGGGGGAGCAGCCGAAGGCAGGUCGGAUGACUGGGGUGAAGUCGUAACAAGGUAG
rnacentral:rRNA from 1 species